rnacentral:rRNA from 1 species
CAUACCUAUUCGAAGGGAUAGGGUCGGUUUGGCCGGAUUUCACACAGGCGUUGCAUGGCUGUCGUCAGCUCGUGUCGUGAGAUGUUGGGUUAAGUCCCGCAACGAGCACAACCCUCAUCCUUAGUUACCAUCAGGUUAUGCUGGGGACUUUAAGGAAACUGCCAGUGAUAAACUGGAGGAAGGUGGGGAUGAUGUCAAGUCAUCAUGGCCCUUAUGGAGUGGGCUACACACGUGCUACAAUGGUGAUUACAAUGGGCUGCAAGGUGGCAAGGCUGAGCUAAUCCUGAAAAAUCAUCUCAGUUCGGAUUGUUCUCUGCAACUCGAGAGCAUGAAGUUGGAAUCGCUAGUAAUCGUGGAUCAGCAUGCCACGGUGAAUACGUUCUCGGGUCUUGUGCACACUGCCCGUCACGCCAUGGGAAUUGGUUUCACUCGAAGCU